rnacentral:lncRNA from 1 species
UAGCUUUACCUCUUUCAAUAAAAAACAUAAUGACAAUUUAUUAAUAAUUAAAUAAAAAAGCCAAAAAUCAAACACAAAAUCAACUAUCCACAACCAUCCCCUUCUUCCCCAACCUCCUUGCCCCAAAACCACCAGUGGCAAAGUAGAUACCAGAACCGCCUAUCCCAUCCCAGUGUCAUUGCUCCUUCCACCCACAAACCAUCCACUAACGGAAUACACACUCUAAACUUGCAUACAG